rnacentral:rRNA from 1 species
ACGCUCGACACCUACGGGAGGCUGCAGUGGGGAAUAUUGCACAAUGGGGGAAACCCGUGAUGCAGCGACGCCGCGUGAGCGAAGAAGUAUUUCGGUAUGUAAAGCUCUAUCAGCAGGGAAGAAACUGACGGUACCUGACUAAGAAGCACCGGCUAAAUACGUGCCAGCAGCCGCGGUAAUCUGAGCGGGCUGGCAAGGC